AAGGAUCAGAAUAACAGCUGCACAACACAAGGACCUCAUAUGCAUCGUCAAAAAGAAGUGCACAUCACUAAAGCAUCAACCGAUUAAACCCAGAUUGCACUUUCCUGCCCGAUUUGUUUUCCUUUCUAGGGAUCGGUAUGAUUGAUUAACAAUGCUCCUGUCUAAAGAAAAACAAUGUUACACCACAAAAGAACUCUGCACAGAUAAUUUGCAGUAAUCAAAAUAUCUAUAACACAAAACAAAUGAACAAUAAUAUGCACAUUAGUAGAUCCUCCGUGAGCUUAAAUUCGAUAAACAAAAAAAAACACAAAAUUGAGUAGUGCCAACAAAAAGUGGCCGCAUGAACAAAAAAUCAUGCAGGAACUUGAUAAAACCAAGUACUCUGCUACCAGAAGAUUCAAAGAGUAGUACAAAAAUUGACUAUUCCCAUGGGAUGUGGCAAGAACCUGCCUGCAGCAAUUAAAAAUUCAGAACCAUCAAACACAUAUGCUCAUCAUUCAGAAAAAAAUAUCCACAUCAUACACGACGACAUGAAUUUUUGAUUACUCAAUUCUACCAAAAGCCUUCGAUAGGUCUAUUUUUAACAUAAAUGCUUUAUGUUUCCACAAGGACAAUUGGAUUUCUUGGGCAAUAAUAACAUUAUUUGAAAUUCUCCUACCCUGGAUAAAAGCUUGCUGAUUUUCAUGAAUAUGAUCAGGGAGGUGAUCUUUAAGCCUAUUUGCCAAAGUUUGACGAUUACAAGCUACAUUGCAUAUGCUAAUGGGUCUAAGGUCUUAGGGAGAAUUAGCAUUAACUUUUUUUCGGAAUAAGAGCAAUGUAGGUUUUGUUUAAACUAGGAUGAAGGCAUGAAGCAUACCUUGGCUGUAGAAAGUUUGAACCAGUUUGGUGAUGUUGUCUCCAAUCCAAUUCCAAGCCAAAAGGAAGAAAGCCACAUUAAGUCCAUCUGGUCCAGGUUCUCAAAUAAAAAAGUGAAAUCACUUUAAAAUAAUCACAAGUUCUCAAACUUAGAAGGUUUGUUAUAUUUAACAGCAUCCGGUUGGGAAAUGGUAAAAAUAGGAGCAUGGUCACUGUACGGGGAGUUAUAAACAGUAGUGUUGGAAAUCUAUGACAGCAUCCAGCAUUAACAAAGCACCAAUCCAUCAUCCGGAAACAAGAAAUGAAUUCGAAUUUUUGGAUAACGAAUCCUUCUAAUCCAGUCUAUCUACUGUCUUUUUGAGGAGCCAGAGGAAAUGCAUCUCAAGUUUAUCCCGCUAACUAGUUUGGCCAAAGGUUGAAACAACCUCACAAAACUCAUACUACAUCUCGACCUCCUUCUCAGUUCUCACUUGAAGCACUUAAGAAUCGCAGUGAAAACAGGAACCAAGCGAGAGAGCAACUUGUACAGCUUCUCAACCUUGUCGCACAUGGUAACUAAGUAGGCAGCCUCCGGGUUUUCCUUUGUGGCUAGAUAGCCAACCCCGAUACAGAAAGCCAUGAUACCAAGGUGGAAGCAGUUUCUCUUCACUUCGCCCCACACCUUUGGCCACCAUGGGAUCCAACUCGGCGAUUCCCUGGCGUCGGGCGGUGGAGGCAGAGAUGCGUCGGGCGGUGGAGGCAGAGAGGCGUCGGGCGGUGGCGGCAGCGAGGCGUCGGGCGGAGGCGGCAGCACGUCGGGCGGAGGCGGCGGCGCCUCGGGUGCACACCGCGAGGGGAGACGACGCGUAACCCGCAUCCCUCUUGCUGCGUGAGCGAGAGAGGAAGGGGAACUAUGAGGGGAGGGUGGAUGGACCUCGACAGAUGGAGGAGGAGAGGGGGAGGGGGGAGGCGGAGUAACCUGCGAGGCCGGGGCGCGCGACGGUCGAGCGCAAGGUGAUGAAGCGGACGACGGUGGCCCGCGGCGCCACGACGUAGGGACCUGCAUUCGCAGGCACGAUCCGGACGAGGGACAUCGCAGGCAGA
rnacentral:lncRNA from 1 species